UGGCGGAGUCACGAAGGAGCGUGCAGCCGCGUCAUCCUCGCCACACACUCUCCUCCAAAAGGAAGUGAAGAACAUCAGGGGAGCUGAUAUUUUUCCACCUUGGCACAUGGAGUCCUGCUUCAUUUGUUAUAGGUGUUGCCUUAUAAUCACGGUAUGGAUCACCAUGGUUUAUCUAACGAUUUCCGUACCGAUGAAGAUUUUUCUAGUGCCAUUUCCCCACUAUUUGAAGCAGCAAUGCACAUUCUAAUUAAGGCCUGGUUCCCAGACCUGAUUAAGCAGCUCCUACAUCUGCCAGCAGUUUGCAGUUGUCCCUGCAAGGCAGGAACUCAAGCUUGUUUCCAGUGAAUGGGAACAAUCUGGGAAAGAGCAAUAAG